rnacentral:antisense_RNA from 1 species
GAAUUCAACACCUUCAAUGCGCUCGCGCACCAUGUGUUCAACAGCAUUACCGCCGCCGCCGCCGACGCCGAUGACUUUAAUCACCGCGUCAUUGGUAAGUUCCAUUGGUUCAAACAUAGUUUCUCUCCGAUUUGUGCCUGUCGCCUGAGGCCGUAAUCAUCGUCGGCCUCAUAAAAAUUAAAACUCUUUUCGCAGCCAACUAUUGAGUCGCUUGAUCCACGAGCCAACUGAUGCUGUAACACGUUUUUCUACUUCAGCUUCACCGUUAAGAUGUGACUCUUUCCCAUAGUGAAGCAAUCCCACCGCCGUCGAAUAAUACGGCUCCUGAGCAUAAUCCGUUAAACCGGUAAUGUUCAGCGGCGCGCCGAUACGCACUUGCGUAUGAAACACGCGCUGAGCACAGGCUGCAAGACCUUCGAUCUGCGCUGCGCCACCGGUUAAUACAAUGCCUGCCGCCAGGUGAUGUUUAACCCC